AACGAACGCUGGCGGCGUGGAUAAGACUGCCAGUUCAAACGAGAGAAACCGCCGCCCCGCCAUACAUUCUCUAGUGGCGCACGGGUGAGUCACACGUCGAGUAACCUGCCCCCGAGAGCGGGAUAGCCCCGGGAAAACCGGGAUUCAUACCGCAUAGUCAUCGAAAAGAUUAAAGCAGCAAUCGCGCUUCGGGGAAGGGCUCGCGGCCUAUUAGUUAGUUGGUGAGGUAACGGCUCACCAAGGCGAUGACGGGUAGCCGGUCUGAGAGGAUGUCCGGCCACACUGGAACUGAGACACGGUCCAGACACCUACGGGUGGCAGCAGUCGAGAAUCAUUCACAAUGGGGGAAACCCUGAUGGUGUGACGCCGCGUGGGGGAAUGAAGGUCUUCGGAUUGUAAACCCCUGUCAUGUGGGAGCAAAUUAAAAAGAUAGUACCACAAGAGGAAGAGACGGCUAACUCUGUGCCAGCAGCCGCGGUAAUACAGAGGUCUCAAGCGUUGUUCGGAAUCACUGGGCGUAAAGCGUGCGUAGGCUGUUUCGUAAGUCGUGUGUGAAAGGCGCGGGCUCAACCCGCGGACGGCACAUGAUACUGCGAGACUAGAGUAAUGGAGGGGGAACCGGAAUUCUCGGUGUAGCAGUGAAAUGCGUAGAUAUCGAGAGGAACACUCGUGGCGAAGGCGGGUUCCUGGACAUUAACUGACGCUGAGGCACGAAGGCCAGGGGAGCGAAAGGGAUUAGAUACCCCUGUAGUCCUGGCAGUAAACGGUGCACGCUUGGUGUGCGGGGAAUCGACCCCCUGCGUGCCGGAGCUAACGCGUUAAGCGUGCCGCCUGGGGAGUACGGUCGCAAGAUUAAAACUCAAAGAAAUUGACGGGGACCCGCACAAGCGGUGGAGUAUGUGGCUUAAUUCGAUGCAACGCGAAGAACCUUACCUGGGCUUGACAUGUAAUGAACAACAUGUGAAAGCAUGCGACUCUUCGGAGGCGUUACACAGGUGCUGCAUGGCCGUCGUCAGCUCGUGUCGUGAGAUGUUUGGUUAAGUCCAGCAACGAGCGCAACCCCUGUUGCCAGUUACCAGCACGUGAAGGUGGGGACUCUGGCGAGACUGCCCAGAUCAACUGGGAGGAAGGUGGGGACGACGUCAGGUCAGUAUGGCCCUUAUGCCCAGGGCUGCACACGUACUACAAUGCCCAGUACAGAGGGGGCCGAAGCCGCGAGGCGGAGGAAAUCCUGAAAACUGGGCCCAGUUCGGACUGUAGGCUGCAACCCGCCUACACGAAGCCGGAAUCGCUAGUAAUGGCGCAUCAGCUACGGCGCCGUGAAUACGUUCCCGGGUCU
rnacentral:rRNA from 1 species